rnacentral:tRNA from 1 species
AACAAGACGGAAGAGAGUCACUCUUACCGUCGUGCAUACCUUAAGCGGGUCUGCCGCCUUCGUUUCUCUUUCUUCGCGAAUGACUAACCUCUCUUUGGCUCUGCCCACAAGGCGUGCCUUGCCGGUGCAACAUGGUGCCAGCAGGGUUCGGUUUAGGGCUUGUAGCUCAGUUGGUUAGAGCGCGCGCUUGAUAAGCGUGAGGUCGGAGGUUCAAGUCCUCCCAGGCCCACCACUUCGCAAUCCGCAAGGAUUGUCGAUCUCCUCGACAAAAGGUAUCAGGGGCCGUAGCUCAGCUGGGAGAGCGCCUGCUUUGCAAGCAGGAUGUCGUCGGUUCGAUCCCGUCCGGCUCCACCACUUCGCGCAAUCCGCAGGAUUGUCGCUGCGCAAUCCGCAGGAUUGUCGCUUCUUCUCCGGAAGAAAGGGUGUCGAGUGGAUGUGAAACCGGUUGCAAAGUCAUUCGUUUUAAGAGUUUGCGGCGAGCCUUUGGCUCUCCGCCUGUUCUGUUUGACAUCGUAAAGAGAAGAUUUGUUCGAACUUCAUAGCCCGCAAGGGGGGUGAUUUGUCGCGGGAAACGCUCAAUCUCCCGCAUAUGAUGGGUUUGCCUAACCGCACCCUCGAACAAAUCUCGAGAAGCUGGUCUUUUUGUG